rnacentral:tRNA from 1 species
AAAGACUUAGUUAAAAUUAUAACAGUAGCUUGUCAAGCUAAAAUUAUUAACUCUAAUAGUUUUUU